rnacentral:rRNA from 1 species
UACGUAGGGGGCAAGCGUUGUCCGGAUUUAUUGGGCGUAAAGAGCGUGUAGGCGGCCAGGCAGGUCCGCUGUGAAAACUCGAGGCUCAACCUCGAGAGGUCGGUGGAAACCGUCUGGCUAGAGUCCGGAAGAGGAGAGUGGAAUUCCCGGUGUAGCGGUGAAAUGCGCAGAUAUCGGGAAGAACACCCGUGGCGAAGGCGGCUCUCUGGGACGGUACUGACGCUGAGGAGCGAAAGCGUGGGGAGCGAACAGG